ACUAAGCAGCUGGAAUGAACCCAAACUUCAGUUCUUGGGGAGUCUUCUAGGUUGUCAACCAGCGUUUCCAUGUCUACACUUGUUAUUCUGUUGGCCACAAAAGAUUCUAGACUAGUCACCAUAGCAACAGUUGCCUCACUAGGUGUCUGUGAUAUGCUGGAGAUCAAAAAGAUUUCCUUACAUUAAAAAAAGAAAGGGAGGAAAAAAGACCCCAGACUUAGCAGGUUGUACUGAUGUGUUUGCUCUCUUCCUAAUGUUUUGAACUUUCUUUUGGUGGUGGGUAGGAAUAAAUGGAUGCUAUUAUCACCAAUAUGAUUCUAGUUUCUAGCUGUUACAUUUUUAAGCUUCCAUUUUUAAAUUCCAGGCAUUUCAACCCACGUCCUAAUAUUCUUUGAGAAGCCCAUUCAUCAAAAGAAAAGACAACAAGAAAGAGGAGAUAAGGGGACUUGGGGACUGUGAUACAAAGGAGAGUAUGCUUACUAGAUGAUGUGUUUUUCAAAAGUCUGUGCCACCAUUUGGCUGAAAAGAUAAUGGCCUAACCAACGGGCAAUCAUAUUUUAUUGACUCCCUCCCUCACCCCCAUCCUUUCUAUAAAUCCUAGCUGCUGAAGUGUUAGUCCUAUAGCAGGCAAAAUGAAACAUUUUCCCUUGCCUGGAUAUUGUUUUCAUUCCCACCUGCCUUAAAUUUUAGUCUGCAGAAACAGUGGUCCUAACACCCAUGGUUCCCAGCUGGGGUAGCAUUAUGCAGUCAGAUUCUGUAGCAAUACAACUGUACAGAUCUGAGAAUGCUCAUUGUAGGGUCUCUUGUCUAUGGCUGGAGGUCAGUUCUACUACUCAUGGCCAACAAUAAGGGACAAUUCUUUGUUACUGAUAUUCCAUAGAAGCGAACGUAGGCCCCGGAGAGAAGAUGGAUCUCCCACCCCAACACCCAGGAUGGUGCUUAUGUAAAUGAGUCUACUGGAAUCCUUGGCUCCUAAUGCUAAAAACUCCUGCCUUGAGAAAUGUUCAUCAUUAAUGCUAAAUGGUUGGUAACUGGUGAAAGGGCAAUGGAGAGGCCACAUUCUAUGAAAAUCAGCAGGGGAAUUCAAUGGCUUUCCGGGAUGGAUUCCAGUCAAUGGGAUGGUGAUGAAGGGGUGUCCUUGAAAUAUCAGGAGAAAGAAUUUGAUGUCAAUCCUACAGAGGUCAUCACAAACAUUUAAUGAGUCAUUCUAACAAGAAUACCAUUAAUAAAGCUUUAAUUGCUGCAAA